UCUUUUAAUUGGAGGCUUGAAUGAAUGGUUGGACGAGGGACAGACUGUCUCCUUUGUGUGAUUUGAAUUUAACUUUUGAGUGAAAAGGCUCAAAUUAUUUAGUGGGACGAUAAGACCCUAUAAAACUUGAUAUAAGUGAAUCUUGAUUUGUGAUUUGUGUGAAAAAUAGUGUUGCUUUACUUAUAUUUUGCUGGGGCGGCAUAGAUAUAAAAUGUAACUGUCUGUUAAAUUUAAUAGUGUUAAUUAGUUUUUGAUCCUUCCUUGUGGAUUAGAAGAAUAAGUUACUUUAGGGAUAACAGCGUGAUUUUCUUUGAGAGUUCUUAUCGACAAGAGUAGUUGCGACCUCGAUGUUGAAUUAAAAUUUCAGCUAGGUGUAGCCGUUUAGCUGGUGGGUCUGUUCGACCUUUAAAAUUUUACAUGAUUUGAG
rnacentral:rRNA from 1 species